rnacentral:rRNA from 1 species
CACGUAGGGGGCGAGCGUUGUCCGGAUUCAUUGGGCGUAAAGCGCGCGUAGGCGGACCUGCAAGUCGGGGGUGAAAGCCCGAGGCUCAACCUCGGAACUGCCUUCGAUACUGCGGGUCUCGAGUCCGGGAGAGGUGAGUGGAAUUCCUAGUGUAGAGGUGAAAUUCGUAGAUAUUAGGAAGAACACCAGUGGCGAAGGCGGCUCACUGGCCCGGUACUGACGCUGAGGCGCGAAAGCGUGGGGAGCAAACAGG